GAUGAACGCUAGCGCUAGGCUUAACACAUGCAAGUCGAGGGACCGGCGCACGGGUGCGUAACGCGUAUGCAACUUGCCUCACAGAGGAGGAUAACCCGUCGAAAGACGGACUAAUACCGCGUACUGUGAGAUAGGCAUGCGUCCCAUUAGCUAGUUGGUGAGGUAACGGCUCACCAAGGCAACGAUGGGUAGGGGAACUGAGAGGUUGAACCCCCAGACUGGUACUGAGACACGGACCAGAACCCUACGGGAGGCAGCAGAGAGGAAUAGUGGGCAAUGAGCGAGAGCCUGAACCUGCCAAGUCGCGUGAAGGAGGACUGGCUAUGAAUUGUAAUCUACUUUUGUAGGAGAAUAGGUACCCUACGAAGAAGCAUCGGCUAACUCCGUGCCAGCAGCCGCGGUAAUUC
rnacentral:rRNA from 1 species